rnacentral:rRNA from 1 species
GACGAACGCUGGCGGCGUGCUUAACACAUGCAAGUCGAACGGAAAGGCCUCUUUCGGGUGGUACUCGCGUGGCGAACGGGUGAGUAACACGUGAGUGACCUCUGCUUGACAUUGGGAUAACUUUAGGAAAAUGUGGCUAAUACCGCAUAUGAGCUCCUGCUGCGUGGUGGGGGUUGGAGAGUUUCGGCGGGUGGGGGUGGACUCUCGGCUUAUCAGCUUGUUGGUGGGGGAGUGGCUUAACAAGGCUUUGUCGGGUAGCCCGGCUGGGAGGGUGAACGGGCAAAUUGGGAAUGAGAUACGGGCCAGACUCCCACGGGAGGCAGGAGUUGGGAAUAUUGCACCAUGGGUCGGAGCCUGAAGCAGGCACGGCGUGGGGGGGAUGACGGCCCUCGGGUUGGAAACCGGUUUCGCUCAUGGCGGAGCUGUGUGUGACGGUAGUGGGUAAAGAAGCACCGGCUAACUACGUG